UAACGGCGAGUGAAGCGGCAACAGCUCAAAUUUGAAAUCUGGCCCCCCCGCGGGGGUCCGAGUUGUAAUUUGCAGAGGGUGCUUUGGCGUUGGCUGUGGUCUAAGUUCCUUGGAACAGGACGUCGCAGAGGGUGAGAAUCCCGUAUGUGGCCGCCAGUCUUCGCCGUGUAAAGCCCCUUCGACGAGUCGAGUUGUUUGGGAAUGCAGCUCUAAAUGGGAGGUAAAUUUCUUCUAAAGCUAAAUAUCUGCCAGAGACCGAUAGCGCACAAGUAGAGUGAUCGAAAGAUGAAAAGCACUUUGGAAAGAGAGUCAAAAAGCACGUGAAAUUGUUGAAAGGGAAGCGCUUGCAGUCAGACGUGCCUCUAGUUGCUCAGCCGGGCCUUCGGGCCCGGUGCACUCUUCUAUUGGCAGGCCAGCAUCAGUCUGGGCGGUCGGAUAAAGGCCCAUUAAACGUGACUCCCUCCGGGGAGAGCUUAUAGGGUGGGCGACAUGCGACCAGCCCGGACUGAGGUCCGCGCAUCUGCUAGGAUGCUGGCUUAAUAACUGUAAGCGGCCCGUCUUGAAACACGGACCAAGGAGUCUAACAUCUAUGCGAGUGUUUGGGUGUCAAGCCCGGACGCGUAAUGAAAGUGAACGGAGGUGGGAUCCCUUCGGGGUGCACCAUCGACCGAUCCUGAUGUCUUCGGAUGGAUUUGAGUAAGAGCAUAGCUGUUGGGACCCGAAAGAUGGUGAACUAUGCCUGAAUAGGGUGAAGCCAGAGGAAACUCUGGUGGAGGCUCGCAGCGGUUCUGACGUGCAAAUCGAUCGUCAAAUUUGGGCAUA
rnacentral:rRNA from 1 species